rnacentral:rRNA from 1 species
CCUACUGGGGACAUCAUUGAGGCAUCUUGGUCAAUGGACGAGAGUCUGAACCAUCAAACUAGCCUGAAGUCUUCCUUCCCUCUUUUUUUUCCCCUUCUUUUCUCCCUUCCUCUAACGAGUCGCGUGUGCCUUUUUGCAUGUACUUUAUGAAUAAGGAUCGUCUAACUCCGUGCCAGCAGCGGCGGUAAUACGGAGGAUCCGAGCGUUAUCCGGAUUUAUUGGGUUUAAAGGGAGCGUAGAUGGGUUGUUAAGUCAGUUGUGAAAGUUUGCGGCUCAACCGUAAAAUUGCAAUUGAUACUGGCAGUCUUGAGUACAGUUGAGGUAGGCGGAAUUCGUGGUGUAGCGGUGAAAUGCUUAGAUAUCACGAAGAACCCCGAUUGCGAAGGCAGCUUACUAAACUGUGACUGACAUUGAUGCUCGAAAGUGUGGGUAUCAAACAGGAUUAGAGAAAAGGGUAGUC